rnacentral:rRNA from 1 species
UUAAGCGACCAAGCGUACACGGUGGAUGCCCUGGCAGUCAGAGGCGAUGAAGGACGUGCUAAUCUGCGAAAAGCGCCGGUAAGGUGAUAUGAACCGUUAUAACCGGCGAUGUCCGAAUGGGGAAACCCAGUGUGACUCGUCACACUAUCAUUAACUGAAUCCAUAGGUUAAUGAGGCGAACCGGGGGAACUGAAACAUCUAAGUACCCCGAGGAAAAGAAAUCAACCGAGAUUCCCCCAGUAGCGGCGAGCGAACGGGGAGGAGCCCAGAGCCUGAAUCAGCAUGUGUGUUAGUGGAAGCGUCUGGAAAGGCGCGCGAUACAGGGUGAGAGCCCCGUACACAAAAGCGCAUAUGCUGUGAGCUCGAUGAGUAGGGCGGGACACGUGGUAUCCUGUCUGAAUAUGGGGGGACCAUCCUCCAAGGCUAAAUACUCCUGACUGACCGAUAGUGAACCAGUACCGUGAGGGAAAGGCGAAAAGAACCCCGGCGAGGGGAGUGAAACAGAACCUGAAACCGUGUACGUACAAGCAGUGGGAGCCCCACCACUAAGCCAGUGGUGAACUCCACAUACGCAUCCUUUGCGGAAGAUGCGGUUAACGGCGCGCAAGCGACGUUCAACCUCAAAAGAAGCAGAGGGGGCUUAGUGGUGGGGUGACUGCGUACCUUUUGUAUAAUGGGUCAGCGACUUAUAUUCUGUAGCAAGGUUAACCGCAUAGGGGAGCCGAAGGGAAACCGAGUCUUAAUUGGGCGUUAAGUUGCAGGGUAUAGACCCGAAACCCGGUGAUCUAGCCAUGGGCAGGUUGAAGGUUGGGUAACACUAACUGGAGGACCGAACCGACUAAUGUUGAAAAAUUAGCGGAUGACCUGUGGCUGGGGGUGAAAGGCCAAUCAAACCGGGAGAUAGCUGGUUCUCCCCGAAAGCUAUUUAGGUAGCGCCUCGUGAAUUCAUCUCCGGGGGUAGAGCACUGUUUCGGCUAGGGGGCCAUCCCGGCUUACCAACCCGAUGCAAACUGCGAAUACCGGAGAAUGUUAUCACGGGAGACACACGGCGGGUGCUAACGUCCGUCGUGAAGAGGGAAACAACCCAGACCGCCAGCUAAGGUCCCAAAGUCAUGGUUAAGUGGGAAACGAUGUGGGAAGGCCCAGACAGCCAGGAUGUUGGCUUAGAAGCAGCCAUCAUUUAAAGAAAGCGUAAUAGCUCACUGGUCGAGUCGGCCUGCGCGGAAGAUGUAACGGGGCUAAACCAUGCACCGAAGCUGCGGCAGCGACACUGUGUGUUGUUGGGUAGGGGAGCGUUCUGUAAGCCGUUGAAGGUGUGUCGUGAGGCAUGCUGGAGGUAUCAGAAGUGCGAAUGCUGACAUAAGUAACGAUAAAGCGGGUGAAAAGCCCGCUCGCCGGAAGACCAAGGGUUCCUGUCCAACGUUAAUCGGGGCAGGGUGAGUCGACCCCUAAGGCGAGGCCGAAAGGCGUAGUCGAUGGGAAACGGGUUAAUAUUCCCGUACUUGGUGUUACUGCGAAGGGGGACGGAGAAGGCUAUGUUGGCCGGGCGACGGUAGUCCCGGUUUAAGCGUGUAGGUGUGUGUUCCAGGUAAAUCCGGUUCACUUUAACACUGAGGCGUGAUGACGAGGCACCACGGUGCUGAAGCAACAAAUGCCCUGCUUCCAGGAAAAGCCUCUAAGCAUCAGGUAACAUCAAAUCGUACCCCAAACCGACACAGGUGGUCAGGUAGAGAAUACCAAGGCGCUUGAGAGAACUCGGGUGAAGGAACUAGGCAAAAUGGUGCCGUAACUUCGGGAGAAGGCACGCUGACACGUAGGUGAAGUGAUUUACUCAUGGAGCUGAAGUCAGUCGAAGAUACCAGCUGGCUGCAACUGUUUAUUAAAAACACAGCACUGUGCAAACACGAAAGUGGACGUAUACGGUGUGACGCCUGCCCGGUGCCGGAAGGUUAAUUGAUGGGGUCAGCGCAAGCGAAGCUCCUGAUCGAAGCCCCGGUAAACGGCGGCCGUAACUAUAACGGUCCUAAGGUAGCGAAAUUCCUUGUCGGGUAAGUUCCGACCUGCACGAAUGGCGUAAUGAUGGCCAGGCUGUCUCCACCCGAGACUCAGUGAAAUUGAACUCGCUGUGAAGAUGCAGUGUACCCGCGGCAAGACGGAAAGACCCCGUGAACCUUUACUAUAGCUUGACACUGAACAUUGAGCCUUGAUGUGUAGGAUAGGUGGGAGGCUUUGAAGCGUGGACGCCAGUCUGCGUGGAGCCGACCUUGAAAUACCACCCUUUAAUGUUUGAUGUUCUAACGUGGACCCGUAAUCCGGGUUGCGGACAGUGUCUGGUGGGUAGUUUGACUGGGGCGGUCUCCUCCUAAAGAGUAACGGAGGAGCACGAAGGUUGGCUAAUCCUGGUCGGACAUCAGGAGGUUAGUGCAAUGGCAUAAGCCAGCUUGACUGCGAGCGUGACGGCGCGAGCAGGUGCGAAAGCAGGUCAUAGUGAUCCGGUGGUUCUGAAUGGAAGGGCCAUCGCUCAACGGAUAAAAGGUACUCCGGGGAUAACAGGCUGAUACCGCCCAAGAGUUCAUAUCGACGGCGGUGUUUGGCACCUCGAUGUCGGCUCAUCACAUCCUGGGCUGAAGUAGGUCCCAAGGGUAUGGCUGUUCGCCAUUUAAAGUGGUACGCGAGCUGGGUUUAGAACGUCGUGAGACAGUUCGGUCCCUAUCUGCCGUGGGCGCUGGAAGACUGAGGGGGGCUGCUCCUAGUACGAGAGGACCGGAGUGGACGCAUCACUGGUGUUCGGGUUGUCAUGCCAAUGGCACUGCCCGGUAGCUAAAUGCGGAAAAGAUAAGUGCUGAAAGCAUCUAAGCACGAAACUUGCCCCGAGAUGAGUCUUCCCUGAGACCUUGAGUCUCCUGAAGGAACGUUAAAGACGAUGACGUUGAUAGGCCGGGUGUGUAAGCGCAGCGAUGCGUUGAGCUAACCGGUACUAAUGAACCGUGAGGCUUAACCUU